AGCUGAUAAGUGGGACCCUGUGGUGUACACUGUGGUAGACAGAAACCUGCAGACGCACACAUACAAGCUGAAGGAUGAAAAAGGAAGUGUGAGGAUAGUGCACAGGAACCUGCUGUUGGAUAUUAGUUUCCUACCUGCUGAGUCACCUGAUGGAAAGGGAAGCAUUUUAUCUCCUGUUGGGGAGUCAGAGUGCGAGACACACAGCAACAAGAGUGAGUUUUGUGUGGAAGACUUUGAUCCGAUGGACGUGGAGGAAAGGACCACGAGAUGGGUAAAUGAGAACACCGGAAGCCCUGUAGGUCAAGAGUCUGAAAGUUUUGUAGUUCAAGACUCUGCUUUUGAGGAGCCUUUGGAAACAGACCAUCUCAAUUCCAAUGAAAAAGAGCCUAAUGAUCAGUUGCAGACUCAAGAGAUCAGUAGCCGAAAUCUUCUUAAGAGUAAAGUUGAAACCAGCCCAACAUCUCUUGAUGUUAAUUUAGAUUGUUACUCAGAUACAUACACAGUUCAGGCUGACACUCAUGCUGACAUUCAUACUGACACCCAAGUUUCGGUUCCUGACAUUCAGGGUGUUAAGACACGAGCAGGUAGAGUUGUUAAGAAAGUGAACAGAUUAAUUGAGUCAAUGGUUCAGAAACCCUUUUACAUUCAAAGUGUGGGCAGUAAUUUGAAAAAGAGAACUGGGUCAUUUCUUUCUAUGUUCUAAAGAAUUUCUUUGUGUUCUCUGUAUGAAGUGAAGAGACAAUUUGAUAAGAGAUAAAAUAUGAAGUGUAAGGGGCAGGUCAUAUUAUGGUGUACAAGGCAUCGUAAUAUUCCAAGAUGAUCUUAGGUUUGAUCACCCUGAGGUUUUUCUUGACCCUAAUAGUGGGUAACUCACUAGUUGAACUAAUGAAUAUUUCAUUGUAGACCUGUACCAGUCAUUUGGUUUGAAUCCAGUACAGAUUUUGGUGAAAUCUGGAAGGGGUGAAUGUAACGAGUUAUAGUAAAUACAAUUUGAAUGUAAAGCAUUGCUUUUUCACCAAAAUCUUUCUAUUGUAUUUAGUAUUAAUUAUCUCUGACUCUCUUUGAGUAAUGUAUGUUAAUUUUACUGUUCAUUGUUUAAAGACUUUUAUUUUGAUAUUUGCUCCUGGCGCGCUACUGACGCCAUUUUGAAGUGAUCACGCACCUCUCACCAGUUUGCAUUGGUUAUGCUGGGGAGAGGUAUGCUUUUUCAGAGCUCUUCAUUUUAAAUGAGUAAAUUAAGUUACAAGAUGUAUAAAUCAGCUAAGUAUUUUGUUCUACACGUUACUGAGACUAUAUGCAGUGUUCUGUUGUGUGUUUUAUCUGUGAGUGGAUUGGAAAUGUGAAGUUAUAUCGUGUGGGCCGUAUGAUAUGUUUAUCGCUUGGUUUUGAGUCAUUAAUUAGCUAACAUGUUUUAUCAUACAGGAAUGUCUCUUUAUGGAAUGCCCACGAGAGAGAUAUAAACUUUAUUCAUGUUAAUCCACAGUGUGAAGUUUAUGCUGGUCGUGGCUGUCAAUAAAUCCCUUUCUGGUGAAUAGAA